AGUCUGAAUAGGGCGCAUAGUCGCUGGGAUUAGGCCCGAAACCGUGUGAGCUACCCCAUGGGCAGGGUGAAGCGAGUCUAAUCACUCGUGGAGGCCCGAACCCACUAACGUUGCAAAGUUAGGGGAUGACCUGUGGGUAGAGGUGAUAUGCCAAUCGAACACGGAGAUAGCUGGUUCUCCCCGAAAUAGCUUUAGGGCUAGCGUCAAGCGUUUAGUACUGGAGGUACAGCACUGAAUGGGCUAAGGGGCUUACAGCUUACUGAACCCAAUCAAACUCGGAAUGCCAGUACUCCAUAGCUUGGCAGUCGGACUCCGGGAGAUGAGUUUCGGGGUCGAAAGGGAAACAGCCCAGAUCAUCGGCUAAGGUCCUCAAGUCUAUGCUAAGUGGUGAACGAGGUGAGAUUACUUAAACAACCAGGAGGUUGGCUUAAGAAGCAGCCACCCUUAAAAAGUGCGUAACAGCUUACUGGUCUAGUGAUUUUGCGCGGAAAACUUAACGGGGCC
rnacentral:rRNA from 1 species